CUACGGGAGGCAGCAGUGAGGAAUAUUGCACAAUGGAGGAAACUCUGAUGCAGCAACGCCGCGUGGAGGAUGACGCAUUUCGGUGUGUAAACUCCUUUUAUGAGUCAAGAAAAUGACGGUAGCUCAUGAAUAAGCACCAGCUAACUCCGUGCCAGCAGCCGCGGUAAUACGGAGGGUGCAAGCGUUACUCGGAAUCACUGGGCGUAAAGGACGCGUAGGCGGGAUAUCAAGUCAGGUGUGAAAUCCUACAGCUUAACUGUAGAACUGCACUUGAAACUGGUAACCUAGAGUAUGGGAGGGGGAGAUGGAAUUAGUGGUGUAGGGGUAAAAUCCGUAGAUAUCACUAGGAAUACCUAAAGCGAAGGCGAUCUCCUGGAACAUAACUGACGCUAAGGCGUGAAAGCGUGGGGAGCAAACAGGAUUAGAUACCCCUGUAGUC
rnacentral:rRNA from 1 species